rnacentral:lncRNA from 1 species
CACUCCCAUUACUUGUUGCUGGUAAACAACUCCGAGGUGCCGCAACAGCUGCGUAUAGAUUUUUCUGUCGACGCUGCUCGUUCAGCUCCUGCAUCUCAAUCGUCUGUUUAUGCGCAUGCCACUUCAGCUGAUCUCGUAUUGAAGGUUCGUUACUGGGAGCGCCAGUAGUCGCCAUAACAUUAGGCACGGACGAAUUUUUCUGUCGACGCUGCUCAUUCAGCUCCUGCAUCUUAAUCUUCUGUUGAUGAGCAUGCCACUUCAGCUGAUCUCGUAAUGAAGGUUCGUUACUAGGAGCACCAGUAGUCCCCAUAACAUUAGGCAUGGGAGAAUGGGAUGGUCGAGUGGGACCAGAUGAAAGGUUUAGAGUUCGAGCUGAGCUAUCAACAACACUGUUUCUAGAAAGAGAAGAUCCAGAUGCAUCUGUAAA